ACAGGAGCCGCCGGCAAGGGGGCAAAGAGGAAGCUUUAUCGAAGCCGGAGAGAAGUUGAAAUUACAGACAUCCUGCCAAAAUGAUUUCUUCAAAGCCCAGACUUGUUGUACCCUAUGGCCUCAAGACUCUGCUUGAGGGAGUUAGCAGAGCCAUUCUCAAAACCAAUCCAACAAACAUCACCCAGUUUGCAGCUGUUUAUUUUAAAGAACUCAUUGUGUUUAGAGAAGGGAAUUCAUCUCUGGAUAUAAAAGAUCUGAUUAAACAGUUUCACCAGAUGAAAGUAGAGAAAUGGGCAGAAGGAGUGACAGUGGAGAAGAAAGAAUGUAUCAAGGAACCUAUAAAAACACCUCCAGUUUCCUGCGAACCUACACGGAUGGAAAAAUCCACAGACACAGAGGAGGACAAUGUAGCUGGACCACUAUUUAGCAACAAAACCACUCAGUUCCCAUCAGUUCAUGCUGAACUACAGCCUGAGGAGACAAGUGAAGGAGCUUGGGGUCCUUCUGACAAACCAACUACUCCUAAGACGACCACCCCACCCUCAUCACCACCUCCAGCGCCUGUCUCUGCCGAGUAUGCCUAUGUCCCUGCUGACCCAGCUCAGUUUGCUGCUCAGAUGUUAGGUAAUGUUCCAUCUACUUAUUCUGAAGUUUUAAUGGUGGACGUGGCAACAAGUACGCCUGCUGUUCCCCAGGACGCACUGAGUGCAGAGUUUGCUGAAGAAGUCGUGCUGUCUGCUCCUCUGGUGUGUUCUGGAGAGACGGUAGAAGUGCAGGUUGUGAGCCAAACAUCUGCGCAGGUAGUUGUGGGUCCUAUUUCUGAGGCUGAACCACCAAAGGCUUCCUCAGCCCCCUUGCAGGGUGAACAAGAACCUCCUGCUUAUGAUGAAGCUCCUGAUACUCAGGUUACAUCAGCCUGUCGUAUAUCAUCCAUAUAUAACGAUGUGCCUGUCAAUGAAGGAGUUGUCUAUGUUGAGCAGAUACCGGGAUACAUAUUUAUCCCUUUUACUGAGCAAGUUGCUUGUGUUAAAGAAAUUGAGCAGUCACCACCAGGUAGUCCCAAACCUGUAGAACCCAAGACUAAAAUAUCUAUAGAGUCUCUGAAAAUUGUCCAGGUGGAGAAUUCCCAACACAAGCCCUCAGUACAUAUGGAGGCAGAGACCACAGUUCUGCUCUCUAACAGUGCUUUAGAUGGUCAGCCCGAGGGACCUGCAGAACCCCUGGAUGCAGAGGGCUUUCUCAAAGUAGCCUCUGAAAAUUCUCUGCACCUUGAAAUGGAGAUCGUUACCAUAGACCCUGAUGAUCCUGGCCAGGAGGAGUCAGGGGGGAACGCUGCACCCCAUUCAUCUGGUGACCCCUUCCCUCCUGCACCAGGAGGCUUUACUGAACCAGAAAUCCAACCAGAUGGGGAAGCUGCACCUGAACAGGUUUGAUGAAGCCAGCACUAGCAACAAGCGAAGCAGGACAACCACCACCAUAUUCAAAUAUGUGGACACUUUAUUGUCUAACUGAUAUGAAUCAACAAAGUCGCCCAUCACCGCCACCUGCACCUGGGCCUUUUCCCCAGGCAACCCUGUAUUUACCUAAUCCUAAGGAGCCACAGUUUCUGCAGAACCCACCGAAAGUCACUUCUCCAACUUAUGUGAUGAUGGAUGACAGCAAGAAGACCAAUGCCCCACCUUUUAUAUUAGUAGGCUCAAAUGUUCAGGAAGCGCAGGAUUGGAACCCUCUUCCUGGACAUGCUGUUGUGUCACAGUCAGAUGCCUUGAAGAGAUACGCUGCAGUGCAAGUGCCCAUUGCUGUUCCUGCAGAUCAGACAUUCCAGAGACCUGCCCCCAAUCCCCAGAAUGCCAGUCCUCCUACAAGUGGACAAGAUGGCCCCAGACCGCAAAGCCCAGUCUUUCUUUCUGUUGCUUUCCCAGUAGAAGAUGUAGCUAAAAAGAGUUCAGGAUCUGGUGACAAACGUACUCCCUUUGGAAGUUAUGGUAUUGCUGGCGAAAUUACUGUGACUACUGCCCAUGUCCGCAGAGCAGAACCUUAAAAGAAUGCUGAAAAUGAUGCUGUUUGAUUCAGCAUUCAAGGUGGAGUUUGUCACCAUGUGAACUGUAUCAAUAAACUUCCUGCAAGCACAAAACUGCACUGUUGUUUUAGUAACUUCCUUAACACUGUCCAGCUCAUCCCCAAGCAAUUCACAUAACAAUUUUACUAGAGUGCUAACUGACCACUUACUUCAUGCUAUGUCUGCAGUCAUAUAAUCAAGGACAGUGUUAGGUUACAGUAUCAACUGAAAUUCUGAAAGCACUUACACUUUUUUUUUUUGAUAUUCUAAAGCAUUUAUUUAGCAUCAUAACACUUGUUAACUUCAAGACAAUUAACAUAACGUACUGGAAGCUACCUAAGGCCCUUUAGGGCAAGUAUCUCAGUCUGGUUUGGUUGGAUAAAUACUAUGAGAGCACCCCAAGUAAUGGGGAAAGCUACUGUACAGUAGGUCUCCAGUACCCUGCAAACUCAAAAUGCACAAGGCCUUCUCUUACCUAGAUUAUAAUACAUGAGUGCAGCUUAAUAUUUCCGUGGCAUUUGCCACUGGAAGUUGAGGCUAAAAGAUUUGUCAUUAGAUAAUGAUAUUGAUUAAAAUCUAUUUUUAGGGCAUUUUUGUGAUUUUUCAGUUCAAACACACAUUAACCCUAUAAAAUCUAAUGACAGUGAUCACAAAAUGUGAACAUAAAUUCAGAGCGCUAAGUAAAUACCUGUUCCAGUUUAGAAUUUUCAAAUCAGGAAUUCUGCUCCUCUCUAGGAGGUGAGAAGUAAAAUCGAGAAGAUUAAUUUCCCUAAAAGGCCAUCAUACCAAUUUAGUUUUUAUAAAAUGAUAAUUUCUACAUUUGAGCACGUAACAUUGUACAGAAGAAUUCUAAAGAUUUCAAAGCUACACCUAAAAUACUCAAUCAAGCAUUAUAGCCUAAAAAUAUUCAAAAUAACUUGAUUUUGAAUCACCACACUAUGACCACUAUGGAAUCACUACAGAAUCCCAUAGAGCUGAGUAUUACACUAGGAUUCCAUCUCCAACAAUGUUGGGAUAGAAACUGCACCCCAACAGCUCCUCACUUCCCGUGAACACUGCUCCAAGUAAGCAACUGUGGAGCAACAGUGCCUCGUUCUCUUUCAGAUCAUGCCCAGUGCGACCAGAUGCCUUAGUGGGUAAAACGCAAAUUAUAGAGGUGUAGAAACCAA